rnacentral:rRNA from 1 species
UACGGGGGGGAGCAAGCGUUGUUCGGAUUUACUGGGCGUAAAGGGCGCGUAGGCGGCCACCGCAAGUCGACUGUGAAAUCUCCGGGCUUAACCCGGAAAGGUCAGCCGAUACUGCGGGGCUAGAGUGCAGAAGGGGCAACUGGAAUUCUCGGUGUAGCGGUGAAAUGCGUAGAUAUCGAGAGGAACACCUGCGGCGAAGGCGGGUUGCUGGGCUGACACUGACGCUGAGGCGCAGAAGCGUAGGGGAGCGAACGGG